CCUACGGGGGGCAGCAGUGAGGAAUAUUGGUCAAUGGCCGGAAGGCUGAACCAGCCAAGCCGCGUGAAGGACGAAGGUGCCAAGGAUUGUAAACUUCUUUUGUCAGGGGACAAAAUGAGGCACGAGAGCCGGACCGAGGGUACUGGAAGAAAAAGCAUCGGCUAACUCCGUGCCAGCAGCCGCGGUAAUACGGAGGAUGCGAGCGUUAUCCGGAUUUAUUGGGUUAAAAGGGAGCGUAGGCGGACUGUUAAGGUAGCGGGAAAAGCCCGGGGCUCAACCCCGGCGAGCCGUUGAAACUGGCUGUCUUGAGAGGGCGAGAGGUAUGCGGAAUGCGUAGUGUAGCGGUGAAAUGCUUAGAUAUUGCGCAGAACUCCGAUUGCGAAGGCAGCAUACCGGCGGGGAUCUGACGCUGAGGCACGAAAGCGUGGGUAUCGAACAGGAUUAGAUACCCUGGUAGUC
rnacentral:rRNA from 1 species